rnacentral:rRNA from 1 species
GAUGAACGCUGGCGGCGUGCCUAAUACAUGCAAGUCGAGCGAACAGACGAGGAGCUUGCUCCUCUGACGUUAGCGGCGGACGGGUGAGUAACACGUGGAUAACCUACCUAUAAGACUGGGAUAACUUCGGGAAACCGGAGCUAAUACCGGAUAAUAUAUUGAACCGCAUGGUUCAAUAGUGAAAGACGGUUUUGCUGUCACUUAUAGAUGGAUCCGCGCCGCAUUAGCUAGUUGGUAAGGUAACGGCUUACCAAGGCGACGAUGCGUAGCCGACCUGAGAGGGUGAUAGGCCACACUGGAACUGAGACACGGUCCAGACUCCUACGGGAGGCAGCAGUAGGGAAUCUUCCGCAAUGGGCGAAAGCCUGACGGAGCAACGCCGCGUGAGUGAUGAAGGUCUUCGGAUCGUAAAACUCUGUUAUUAGGGAAGAACAAAUGUGUAAGUAACUAUGCACGUCUUGAUGGUACCUAAUCAGAAAGCCACGGCUAACUACGUG